GGGCCCGUGGUUUAGCCCGGUAUAACGUUUCCUUGACGUGGAAAAGGUCCCCAGUUCAAAUCUGGGCGGGCCCA
rnacentral:tRNA from 1 species